AGCUUGCUCCUCUGACGUUAGCGGCGGACGGGUGAGUAACACGUGGAUAACCUACCUAUAAGACUGGGAUAACUUCGGGAAACCGGAGCUAAUACCGGAUAAUAUAUUGAACCGCAUGGUUCAAUAGUGAAAGACGGUUUUGCUGUCACUUAUAGAUGGAUCCGCGCCGCAUUAGCUAGUUGGUAAGGUAACGGCUUACCAAGGCAACGAUGCGUAGCCGACCUGAGAGGGUGAUCGGCCACACUGGAACUGAGACACGGUCCAGACUCCUACGGGAGGCAGCAGUAGGGAAUCUUCCGCAAUGGGCGAAAGCCUGACGGAGCAACGCCGCGUGAGUGAUGAAGGUCUUCGGAUCGUAAAACUCUGUUAUUAGGGAAGAACAAAUAUGUAAGUAACUAUGCACGUCUUGACGGUACCUAAUCAGAAAGCCACGGCUAACUACGUGCCAGCAGCCGCGGUAAUACGUAGGUGGCAAGCGUUAUCCGGAAUUAUUGGGCGUAAAGCGCGCGUAGGCGGUUUUUUAAGUCUGAUGUGAAAGCCCACGGCUCAACCGUGGAGGGUCAUUGGAAACUGGAAAACUUGAGUGCAGAAGAGGAAAGUGGAAUUCCAUGUGUAGCGGUGAAAUGCGCAGAGAUAUGGAGGAACACCAGUGGCGAAGGCGACUUUCUGGUCUGUAACUGACGCUGAUGUGCGAAAGCGUGGGGAUCAAACAGGAUUAGAUACCCUGGUAGUCCACGCCGUAAACGAUGAGUGCUAAGUGUUAGGGGGUUUCCGCCCCUUAGUGCUGCAGCUAACGCAUUAAGCACUCCGCCUGGGGAGUACGACCGCAAGGUUG
rnacentral:rRNA from 1 species